rnacentral:rRNA from 1 species
CGUAAACGAUGAGUGCUAAGUGUUGGAGGGUUCCGCCUUUCAGUGCUGCAGCUAACGCAUUAAGCACUCCGCUGGGGAGUACGACCGCAAGGUUGAAACUCAAAGGAAUUGACGGGGGCCCGCACAAGCGGUGGAGCAUGUGGUUUAAUUCGAAGCAACGCGAAGAACCUUACCAGGUCUUGACAUCCUUUGACCACUCUAGAGAUAGAGCUUUCCCUUCGGGGACAAAGUGACAGGUGGUGCAUGGUUGUCGUCAGCUCGUGUCGUGAGAUGUUGGGUUAAGUCCCGCAACGAGCGCAACCCUUAUUGUUAGUUGCCAUCAUUCAGUUGGGCACUCUGGCGAGACUGCCGGUGACAAACCGGAGGAAGGUGGGGAUGACGUCAAAUCAUCAUGCCCCUUAUGACCUGGGCUACAUACGUGCUACAAUGGGAAGUACAACGAGUCGCUAGGCCGCGAGGUCAUGCAAAUCUCUUAAAGCUUCUCUCAGUUCGGAUUGCAGGCUGCAACUCGCCUGCAUGAAGCCGGAAUCGCUAGUAAUCGCGGAUCAGCACGCCGCGGUGAAUACGUUCCCGGGCCUUGUACACACCGCCCGUCACACCACGAAAGUUUGUAACACCCGAAGUCGGUGAGGUAACCUUUUGGAGCCAGCCGCCUAAGGUGGGAUAGAUGAUUGGGGUGAAGUCGUAACAAGGUAACCA